AAAAGAAUAAGAAGUAAGAAAAAAAUAAUAUCAAAUAAAUGUAAAAGAGUUAGGUGUUUCAAAGUAUAUAUUAUUUUUAUCAUUUUUCUUUGUUCAUUUUCUCAACAUAUUCAUCUCACCUAUUUUCUGUUAUUUUUCUCCAAUUAUUUUUUUCAUCUAAUUUCUUUAUCCACUCUUCUUUAUCAUUUUUUCAUCUAAUUAUUCCAUUUUCUCUAUUUAUUAUUUCUCUUCCAUCAAUUUUUUCAUCUAAUUCUUUCAUUAACUUUUAUCAAAUUUCUUCGUCUAAUUAUUCUAUUGAUUUAUUUUUAUUAUUUCUCUAAAAUCAUUAUCUUCAUCUAUUUUUUUUUUCAUAUUCCUUUUUAUUAUUUUUUCCAUCUAAUUAUCGUACUCAUCUCUUUUUUAUUUCUCACUAAACAUUUUCUCCACCCAUGUUUUUUUAAUCAUUUUUCUUCGCCCAUUUUCUACAUCUUAUUAUCCCACUAAAUUUUUUAUUAUUAUUUCUCUCUAACCAUUUGCUCCAUCUAUUUUUUUAUCAUUUCUCUUCAUCAAUUUUCUAUAUCUAAUUAUCCCCCUAUUUUAUUAUUAUUAUUAUUAUUAUUAUUAUUAUUAUUAUUUAUCUCCAAUUAUUUUCUCUACUCAUCAUCUAUAAAUACCUAGACUAUCACUCCAUUCCACACACACUAUAUACUCACACUCCUCCAUCAUCACCACAUCUUAUUCUCUAAAACUUUCAUUCUCACAAUACAACUUUUUCAUCCUCUACUGUCUUUUUCACACUCUCUACGUAUUUUCCUUUUCUUUUUUUUCCGUAUUAUUUUUUUGUAUCCCCAUAUUUGUUAACUUUGCAACCCCUCUGUCUUUUGUAUUUGCUAUUCGCUACACACCUCCUAAUUGCUCACUGCAUCCCCACUUUUACUUGCCGCACCUCAACACGUGGAUACUCCAUUUACUGUUUGUUCUCUGCAUUUUCAUUGUUGCACCCAGUGCAUUUUUUUUAUUAUUGUAGGUUGGGUUUUUAUUUAACUUUUUUGCUACACUUGUUUUAAACUUUCUAUACAUCACUAUACUUACUUUUGCCACCUCACC
rnacentral:lncRNA from 1 species